AGCUUCGGAGGUAGCGGACUACCGGGUUGUUGUCGGGAAGCGGGUUGGGACUUGGAGAGAGAGAGAGAUGUGAUCGGUGGUGGCGAAGCGGAGGAGAGUCGGUGAUCGAUGCAAUCAGGAUUCUAUUACACCUUAAAGAGAACGGCGCCCAACUCGGCUACUCCGGAGAGGGGAGCUUGGGUGCACAAGCUAGACAGUAACAGGACGUUGAGCGGGACUAAGUUCCUUGUGUUCAAUUACUGGUUUUGCACGUACUAUAGAUACAAAUGCUGGCAGCACAUGAUGGCAACAGGGUUUCAAAGCUAGAGAAUGUUGUCGGUGGCAGUUUGUACAUGGAAGGCCACAUUUUGAUGCUUCUUCAUACCCCUCGACAACAAACAACAGCAUUAAACCCUGCCCCGGAGCAUAAAAGACUCAGCUGAAAAUUACAUACGGAACACAACUUCUUGGCAGUGGAAUGUCGUGAUAAACUGGUAAGGUACAUGUUGUGUGUAAAUAAAAAGUGUAGUAAUUACAGGUUCCCUCGCUGUAUUUGCGUUUAGUCUUAACCACUAUAUAGCAAUUAUGUAAGUG
rnacentral:lncRNA from 1 species